CCUUGAAUCUAAGGAUCCAAUCAAAGCUCUCUUAAACUUCAAACAAUGAUUCAGAGAAAGCUCUGGAGAGUUUCUCUGUUUCAUUCACCAUUAAAACUUCGUCGUUAGCUCAUAGAGCUCUCUCUUUUUGUCGAACAAUGGAUCUGCUCUCUUGUAAGGAAGCUUGGGUUCAUAUGAAUAACCCAAAUUCGGACAUCCUUUCAAGUUAUACUCAUUGGCAGAUGGGAGAACGAAUGUAUUCACACAUCAUCAAAAGUAAACAAAUUAGAGGAUGAUGAACCCUUGUGAUAAGCUAGAUCUGGAUUUUCGCCUUCGCCGUGUUUCUGGAUUUGCUGCCGCGUCCUUUGGAUGGAUCCGGACGUCUAACAAUCUUAGGCUCACGAGAGAGAGAAUCAAACCAGUUUCAUCUCUCGAGACCGCUCCGACAUCGUCUUCUUCUUCAGACGUCACCAAUUUACCUUCACUCGAGCAAUCCAUGGAGAGUCUCGGCCUAGGUAUCGACGUCGUCGUCUCCUGUCUCGCUAGCUUUUUUCUUCCAGAGUUCCGGUCCACCAGUGGAGAUCGUCGAAGACGGGAAACCUUACGUGAUGUUCAGAGACGACAAGCCUAGAGUAUUGGGCUCGUUGGUGGGCCUUUAGUGACAUCAACCGCCGGGCUUCAUGAAAAGCUUCCUUCUUUACCGAGAUGACUUGUGGUCAAGCUAGAUCUAGGGGUUUUCCAAAUUUGAUAUGCUUUGAAGAUAGUUUUCCUUAGUCCCCUCCUUCUAGCGCCAACUGUUUGACCCAAAAACGGUGUUUAUGCUGGUGUUGUUUGUUGGAACCAUACAAUAAAGAACCUAAGGAUAAAGAUUAGAUUCUUGAAGUUUAAGAGAAAUCUUCAUAGAAUCAAAUGAGAAAAAGAAUAUCCAAUAGACUUUAUUGAUCAAAGAUUGCAUUAAAAGAAUGAUUUCUAGUGUAAAGUGAAUCAAAAAAUGUAUAAAAUCCUUAUAGGAUGUGUUCUAGGUCUAAAUGUAAAAGAGAUGAUCCCCUUAAUAAAGAGAGGUGUAUCUCUAUUUAUACAAGGAAAAAACUAGAGCUUUAUAGUAAAACGAGCCUAAUUUAUUGUCUAAUGGGGCUUGAGGGAGGAUGUAAAUCCACCCCCAACAUUAAUAUCAUCCGAAGACCGAAGAAAGACGCAAAUGAUGCGUUAGGACACAGUUUUUGCAGACUUAGAAGCUACUUUUACAUUUCUAGCUAAGUGUUUCUCUAGAUUAAAAUAUUUAAUUUUCGCCUACAGUUUAAGCAUUCUUAUAUGAACAAAUUACAAUAAAUAAGUUCGUUAUUGAUUGUACCUUUUGUUUGAUCCAAAAAUAGUAUUUAUGCUGGUGAUGUUUGUUGAAUCAAUACAAUAAAAGAAUCUAAGAAUAAAAAUUAGAUUCUUGAGGCUUAGAAGAAAUCUUUAGAUGAAAUCAAAUGGGAAAAAUAAUAUAAAAGAGAUUUCAUUGAUUGAAGGUUCAUUACAAAGAUGAUUACAAAUGCAAAGUGAACCUUUUAAUACAAAAUCUCUAUGAAAAUAUGUUUCUUAGUCUAAGAAGAGGAGAAGAUGAUCCUUUCUCAUAAGGAGGUAGCUCCUUAUUUACAGAAAGAUGAAGCCUAGGGCUUCCUAGCAAUAUGUGCCAAGUUCAAUGUCUAAUGGACCUUGAGGAGGAUGUAAAUCCAUCCCCAAUAGUAAGUCCCCCAAGUUCGUAGAGAGAGAGAUGAAGUGGAUCUCUGUGAAUUUUACGAAUAGGGUUUAUUAGACAAUGAACUAGUCACAUUCAUGCCUAUGAUGAUUUAGGCGAGUUUACUUCGAACUUGUACCUAGUAAAAUGCGAGUUUGCUUUAAACUCGUGCUUAGUGAAAGACGAGUUCACUUGACUCAUGCUGAGACAGAGGCGAAUUGACUGAGAACUCGUGCCUAGUAGAAUGAGAGUUUCUGUAAACUCAUGCCUAGUCAAAGACGAGUUUUUGUAAACUCGUGUCUAACAAUAAGCGAGUCGACCGAAAACUCGUGCCUAAUAAAAAGCAAGUUUAACUUAAACUUGUGCCUAAAAUACAAGUUACAGAACUGUUGCCGACCCGAAGUCUCGUGUUGAGAUCGUGUGUGCCGAACAAGUUGUUGGCUUGUAUGUUCGUCAGGCUGUGAUGAUGUUGAGAAACGUUCUGGCUUGCUCCGCUUGUACCGCUUCCUGCAAGCUUGUAGCUGAGGGCCGUCCUUCGAAGCAUGAGGACAUGAUGGUGACAGUCACUUGUUGAUUCUCUUUGGCUCAAAGAUCUAAUCAACUCUGGUUCACAAAAAACAGGAUUAGAUCAUUACAAACCCAAAAGAAAUAAACGAGUUUCACGUAAUCAAUAGAACUUGUUUCUACUUAGUGUUUGUGAGUUGCACAUGAUGAUAUAAUAACUGUCAACUUAUUAAUAUCAUAAGGCUACCAACAGCAAAGCAAUAACAUGAGA